rnacentral:rRNA from 1 species
GCUUACGGCCAUACCACCCUGAGAACGCCCGAUCUCGUCUGAUCUCGGAAGCUAAGCAGGGUCGGGCCUGGUUAGUACUUGGACGGGAGACCGCCUGGGAAUACCAGGUGCUGUAAGCC